rnacentral:tRNA from 1 species
GUGGCUCAGUGGUAGAGCAUUUGCCUUGCAUGCAUGAGGCCCUGGGUUCAAUUCCUCAGC